UACGUAGGGUGCUAGCGUUGUUCGGAAUCAUUGGGCGUAAAGCGCGUGUAGGUUGUUAGGUAAGUCUUGUGUGAAAUCCCUGGGCUCAACCUAGGAAGUGCACUCGAAACUCCCGAACUGGAGUCCCGGAGAGGAAGGCGGAAUUCUCGGUGUAGAGGUGAAAUUCGUAGAUAUCGGGAGGAACACCGGAGGCGAAGGCGGCUCACUGGGGCUUUUCUGACGCUGAGGAACGAAAGCCAGGGGAGCGAACGGG
rnacentral:rRNA from 1 species